rnacentral:rRNA from 1 species
GUCGAGCGGAAGGCCCUUCGGGGUACUCGAGCGGCGAACGGGUGAGUAACACGUGAGCAACCUGCCCUAGGCUUUGGGAUAACCCCGGGAAACCGGGGCUAAUACCGAAUAUGACCUCCGAUCGCAUGGUUGGUGGUGGAAAGUUUUUCGGCCUGGGAUGGGCUCGCGGCCUAUCAGCUUGUUGGUGGGGUGAUGGCCUACCAAGGCGACGACGGGUAGCCGGCCUGAGAGGGCGACCGGCCACACUGGGACUGAGACACGGCCCAGACUCCUACGGGAGGCAGCAGUGGGGAAUAUUGCACAAUGGGCGGAAGCCUGAUGCAGCGACGCCGCGUGAGGGAUGACGGCCUUCGGGUUGUAAACCUCUUUCAGCAGGGACGAAGCGAAAGUGACGGUACCUGCAGAAGAAGCGCCGGCCAACUACGUGCCAGCAGCCGCGGUAAGACGUAAGGGCGCGAGCGUUGUCCGGGAUUUAUUGGGCGUAAAGAGCUCGUAAGGCGGCUUGUCGCGUCGACUGUGAAAACCCGCAGCUCAACUGC